rnacentral:rRNA from 1 species
GGCUCAGUAACACGUGGAUAUCUACCCUGCGGAGGGGGAUAACCCCGGGAAACUGGGGAUAAUACCCCAUAGACUAUGGAUGCUGGAAUGCUCUGUAGCCGAAAGGUCCGCCGCCGCAGGAUGAGUCUGCGGCCGAUUAGGUUGUUGUUGGGGUAACGGCCCAACAAGCCUGUAAUCGGUACGGGUUGUGGGAGCAAGAGCCCGGAGAUGGAUUCUGAGACACGAAUCCAGGCCCUACGGGGCGCAGCAGGCGCGAAAACUUUGCAAUGCGGGAAACCGUGACAAGGGAACUCCGAGUGCCCGUAAAUUCGGGCUGUCCGCCAGUUUAAAUCACUGGUGAAGAAAGGGCCGGGCAAGACCGGUGCCAGCCGCCGCGGUAAUACCGGCGGCUCGAGUGGUGGCCACUAUUACUGGGCUUAAAGCGUUCGUAGCUGGUCUGUUAAGUCUCUGGGGAAAUCUUCCGGCUUAACCGGAAGGCGUCUCAGGGAUACUGGCAGACUAGGGACCGGGAGAGGUGAGGGGUACUCCAGGGGUAGGAGUGAAAUCCUGUAAUCCUUGGGGGACCACCUGUGGCGAAGGCGCCUCACCAGAACGGCUCCGACAGUGAGGAACGAAAGCUGGGGGAGCAAACCGGAUUAGAUACCCGGGUAGUCCCAGCUGUAAACGAUGCGCGUUAGGUGUAUCGGUGACCACGAGUCACCGAGGUGCCGAAGAGAAAUCGUGAAACGUGCCGCCUGGGAAGUACGGUCGCAAGGCUGAAACUCAAAGGAAUUGACGGAAG